UGGAGCAGGAGCGAGGAAGAGGAGCAGCAGGCGCGAGGAGGAAGAAGAACACCUCCACUGUUCCACAGAGUCCAACACCCAGCGUCUGCCGAGGUUCAGCAGCAGCUGAAGUUCAGGACCAUUUUAUCUUGGGAACAGAUGACGCCUGCAGCAUCACGUCGGUGCACAGAGUGACGGGAGGUCUGUUUUUGUCUUUGGUUAUCUAGCUGUAUGAGUGUUAAAUACCUGUCAUAAAGCUAGAUAACCGAAAGUAGAAAUGACUUCUGUAUAACGUUGUGAGAGGGAGAGAGGGAGAGAGAGAGAGAGAGAAGGCGAGAGCGAGAGAAGGCGAGAGAGGACCCUUCGGGCUUUAAACCCAACGAAGUGGAUUUUCGCUUUCAAAACAAAAAGUUUUCUGGAGGUUGGCCUGUUCCUAAAAACCCUGCUCAGAGCAAACCAGGAAAGCGGGGAGGAAAACGCGGUCAGGCCGACAGCGCCACCUCCUCCUCCCUCACCACCCUUUUUGCCCCACAGCCUCUAAUGCCAUCUGCACCGCCAACGGGGGGGACACUUUGCCCGUGCCAGGAGGAGGCGGAGAAAGACCCUCGCCGGAUCCCCGGAGAACGGGCGCGCUCAGAGGAGCCAUCUUGGGAGAUGUUGCCGCGACACCUAAAAUGGCUGGGGCUGGCAUAGUAGGCCGGGACCUGUGAGGCUCUGCUCUCUGCAGGGAACUGCUCUGGCCCCAGGAGUCUGUGGAGCAAACGCAAGAAAAUGUCGUCAUCAGAUUCUGUCGAGCCUCUCACCGGAGCAGGAACUCCAAGAGAUUAACUGUCAACUAAACGCUGCAAGAAGAGGAAGCAGAAGAAGAAGAGGAAGAGGAAGAAGAGGAGCCAUGUGUAGAAACAACAGAUUUGCUGUGUUAAUCUGAAUUGUAGCUCAAGAUGACUGCUAUCCUUAGAAAUACAGAGUUUAUUUUAAAAUGCUGUACUAAUGAAUAAUUGUAUUUAAUUAUAACACAAUUAUAACUGCAAAUAAAAAAGCAUUAACUGUUUUCACAUAAUUCAUUGUUUUAUAAGUACUUUCAUAGCUAAUUCACAUUUUCAUUAUAGUUUUAUUUUAAUUUCAUUAUUCUCGUA